AGAGUUUGAUCAUGGCUCAGGACGAACGCUGGCGGCGUGCCUAACACAUGCAAGUCGAGUGCGCGUCCGUAGCAAUACGGAUGGCGCACGGCGCACGGGUGCGUAACACGUGGGUACCUGCCCUUUGAUGGGGAAUAACCCCGCGAAAGCGGGGCUAAUACCGCAUAAGAUCCGCAAGGAUGAAAGCCGUAAGGCGUCGA
rnacentral:rRNA from 1 species